AAGGAUGUAGCUCAGUAGUACAGCACUUGCUUAGCAAGCCUGAGACUCUGGGAUCAAUCCUCAGCAUCACUA
rnacentral:tRNA from 1 species